AUUGAACGCUGGCGGCAGGCUUAACACAUGCAAGUCGAGCGGAGACUUCGGUCUUAGCGGCGAACGGGUAAGGAAUGCCUGGGAAUCUGCCUGUUAGUGGGGGAUAACGAAUCGAAAGGUUCGCUAAUACCGCAUACGUCCUACGGGAGAAAGCAGGGGACCUUCGGGCCUUGCGCUAACAGAUGAGCCCAGGUCGGAUUAGCUAGUAGGUGGGGUAAAGGCUCACCUAGGCGACGAUCCGUAGCUGGUCUGAGAGGAUGAUCAGCCACACUGGAACUGAGACACGGUCCAGACUCCUACGGGAGGCAGCAGUGGGGAAUAUUGGACAAUGGGCGAAAGCCUGAUCCAGCCAUGCCGCGUGUGUGAAGAAGGCCUCGGUUGU
rnacentral:rRNA from 1 species